AUCACUUCACAAUUCAGAAUGGGUGACAGUUAUGUUUCAUGAGUCUCGACUUUCGAUCAAGAGAUUCUUUUCUGAACCUCAACUUUUGUUAAAAGAUAACUUGUAUCCCAGUACAGCAGUAAAAGGAAGACGUGUAAGUAGAUUGACUUAUAAGUUGCCAUCAAUACAUAACAGAAAAAGCACUUUUCAUUCUAUAACAAACAGAAAUAUAAACAUGCUGCAUAAUUUCAUAUUUCUGUACCAAUGUAAGCUCAAAUAAAUGGGGAAAAUAUUUCUAAAACUAGAAUUGCUUCAAAUCAAAACAUUUUCUCACAGAUUAAGAGCGACUCGAUCAUGCUACAAACCCAAGCUUAUUGCUCCAUAGUUGAAAGAAAGUAAUUGAAGAAAUGUGAUGUGAUCCGAGAUAGGCCACAAAUUACCAAGGAUUUGAUGAUUGUUGGGCAGAGUCCUAAGCCACAUUCGAGACCUCUGGAAGCUAAUAAAACCAUGCAGAAUACAUGUUCAAGUUAUGGAGUUCAAAUUGAAAAGGUAAACAAGCCAAAUUCCAAGUGCAAUGUGGGGAUGUCGAAGGCUGAAACAACUUGGAGGCAAUGCAAUUCAAGAAGUUGGAAAGGGGCCUGCUGUAAAGUCAUGCGACCGCAAGGCUUUAAAGCCUCAUGCAGUCACAUAAGAGGAAGCAGAAAAAAUGUUCGGCAACAAGAGUUGAUCCAUGCGAC
rnacentral:lncRNA from 1 species